rnacentral:lncRNA from 1 species
GGUUGAGUAUCGUCUUCUUGCUCAUUUUUCGUGUAUCUUAAGCUGUGCCUUAUUUCUCUUUGGUUUCUAUGAACUGUAUGAUCGAUUUCUUCGUCAAAAUGUAAUGGUCCCGACAGGUUUCUUCUAGUCAUAAACUAUAAAAACCUGCCAAGAGAAAUAAAGAGUAGGUUAAUAAAUAAUAAUAAAAUUAAAUUAAAUUAAAUUGCAAGAAAAAUAAAUGGCUAAAGUAAUAAAAAUUGAGCGUUCCUAAUAUCUUAGUUCCCCGGCAACGGUGCCAAAAACUUGAUCGCGUUAUUUCGUGAUAGGUUUUAAAUAUUUAUAAUUACUCAUUCUUAAACUAGCUAUUAUUGCGAUGUAGGCAAGUGUACCUAUCGAACAGUAGUAUAGUUUUAGCAAGACCGGAUUGUCGAACCCAAAGGAACUAAAAGUACUAGUAAUGACUGUCUUUUUAUUAUCUAGCCUAAGAAUAAAGAUGUUUUGUUUUAAUUAACUAAUUAUCUAAACUAAGAAUGCACAGAAAAAAAAGAAUUGGGGAAUUGCUUUUGGAAAAAAUUGAUGGACUUAAGACAAUACCUAAGGAAAAAUCCACCUAGACUUUGCUUGUUAUUCUGGCUCCGAAUUGGAUGAUUUAUUCAUUUAACUUGUUCCGUAGAGAUCCCUAAGUUAUGUUAUUAUCCCUAUUCAAGACUAAUAAUGUCUAAUCCCUAGAUUGAAUAACCGAUACUUUUAUCUAAUUAACACUCUAGGGUUGCAUUAACUCGAUCUAUGGA